CUUCGAGGAUCCGAGCCACAGCGGCUGAUCCCCGUCGCGCUCCUGACCGUACGUCGCGAGCAGGGCCUGCGCCUC
rnacentral:antisense_RNA from 1 species